GUGCUUUUGGCUCAUGUUUGUGAUGAUAAUUUAAGUCUCGUGAGUCCGACCUGCUGCACGGUGUGAGGGGAGAGUGAAGUCAGAGAAUGGAGAUGUGGACAAGAACACACGUAGCCCUAACUGGAGCUGGCGGCCACCCCGUGUUUGUGAGAGCUGCCCAUCCCUCUCCGACAAAGAAUUGGAAGAAAGCAGAGAAGUGAAAAGGCCCUGUGUCCCAGAUGACGCUACUGAGCCGUUGAAUCCUACCAGCCCCAAAGUCGGUCCUACCUUGAAUAAUCAAUCUACACUGGCCAUUCGAGGAGCCCUGCCUUUGUGGGUUAAAUCCCAGUAGAAGACACUGGAAUUCUUCCUGUGGCUAGCUGGCAGAAGAGUACUGUGUCAGGAGAGGUGCAGAAGCACUGAUGCAAGCAGAGCUCAGGUGGCCUUUUGCACCAGCCUCAGAAACCUGUCCCAUCCUCCAAUCAUGUACAUCAGAUGGAAAGGUC